GAGAGUAUAGCUCAGUGGUAGAGCGUGUGCUUACAAGGCACGAGGUCCUGGGCUCAAUCCCCAGUCCCUCCA
rfam:Camelus ferus unplaced genomic scaffold scaffold548, whole genome shotgun sequence.